rnacentral:rRNA from 1 species
CCUACGGGGCGCAGCAGUGGGGAAUAUUGCACAAUGGGGGAAACCCUGAUGCAGCAACGCCGCGUGAGUGAGGAAGUAUUUCGGUAUGUAAAGCUCUAUCAGCAGGGAAUAGAAAAGAAGGUACCUGAAAAAGAAGCCCCGGCUAAUUAGGUGCCAGAAGCCGCGGUAAUACGUAGGGGGCAAGCGUUAUCCGGAUUUACUGGGUGUAAAGGGCGUUUAGCCGGGCUGACAAGUCAGAUGUGAAAUCCGGGGGCUCAACCCCCGAACUGCAUUUGAAACUGUUGAUCUUGAGUAUCGGAGAGGCAGGCGGAAUUCCUAGUGUAGCGGUGAAAUGCGUAGAUAUUAGGAGGAACACCAGUGGCGAAGGCGGCCUGCUGGACGACAACUGACGGUGAGGCGCGAAAGCGUGGGGAGCAAACAGGAUUAGAUACCCGGGUAGUC